UACGUAGGUGACAAGCGUUGUCCGGAUUUACUGGGCGUAAAGAGCGCGCAGGCGGUCGAUCAAGUCGAGUGUGAAAGCCCCCGGCUCAACUGGGGAGGGUCAUUCGAUACUGAUCGACUCGAAGGCAGGAGAGGGUAGUGGAAUUCCCGGUGUAGCGGUGAAAUGCGUAGAGAUCGGGAGGAAGGCCGGUGGCGAAGGCGGCUCUCUGGGACGUCCCUGACACUGAGGCGCGAAAGCCAGGGGAGCAAACGGG
rnacentral:rRNA from 1 species